rnacentral:rRNA from 1 species
UACGUAGGGGGCAAGCGUUGUCCGGAUUCAUUGGGCGUAAAGAGCGUGUAGGCGGCCAGGUAGGUCGGUUGUGAAAACUGGAGGCUCAACCUUCAGAGGUCGACCGAAACCAUCUGGCUAGAGUCCGGGAGAGGAGAGUGGAAUUCCUGGUGUAGCGGUGAAAUGCGUAGAUAUCAGGAGGAACACCAAUGGCGAAGGCAGCACUCUGGGACGUGACUGACGCUGAGACGCGAAAGCGUGGGGAGCGAACAGG